rnacentral:rRNA from 1 species
GAUCAUGGCUCAGGAUGAACGCUAGCUACAGGCUUAACACAUGCAAGUCGAGGGGAAACGACAUCGAAAGCUUGCUUUUGAUGGCCGUCGACCGGCGCGCGGGUGAGUAACGCGUAUCCAACCUGCCUACCACUUGGGGAUAACCUUGCGAAAGUAAGACUAAUACCCAAUGACAUCCCACGAAGACAUCUGAAUGGGAUUAAAGAUUUAUCGGUGAUGGAUGGGGAUGCGUCUGAUUAG